rnacentral:lncRNA from 1 species
GACGCAGUUUGACCGUGAAGGGAGAGCAGCAAGCGCCAUGUGUCUGUGAGAGUCUGCCAGCUAGCCUCAGGGCUUGGAGGAAAGCCCAGUGCAGAGCCUCUUUAGCGGCUCUCAGAAGAAACGAGCACUGCAGACUUCUUGCCUCCAGUGUCCAAAGGCAACAAUCUCUGUAUUGAAGGAUGCCCUAAUCUACUCGAGAUGCUCAUGUAUAUAAGACGAGGUGCAGUCAAGGUCGCCAUUUGCUUAAACGAAUGCAUCCCAGUAAUAAGUAGGAAGCCGGCAAGCUCAGGGACACAGCUAAAUACAAGGGGUCAAGCCCCGCAUGGUAAAGUAAAUUAACUAAAUGAAAAAUAACU